CAGCCGCCGCGGUAAUACAGAGGGUGCAAGCGUUAAUCGGAAUUACUGGGCGUAAAGCGCGCGUAGGUGGUUUGUUAAGUUGGAUGUGAAAUCCCCGGGCUCAACCUGGGAACUGCAUCCAAAACUGGCAAGCUAGAGUAUGGUAGAGGGUGGUGGAAUUUCCUGUGUAGCGGUGAAAUGCGUAGAUAUAGGAAGGAACACCAGUGGCGAAGGCGACCACCUGGACUGAUACUGACACUGAGGUGCGAAAGCGUGGGGAGCAAACAGGAUUAGAUACCCCAGUAGUCCCUGUCUCUUAUAU
rnacentral:rRNA from 1 species